GGGGAAUAUUGGACAAUGGGCGAAAGCCUGAUCCAGCCAUGCCGCGUGUGUGAAGAAGGUCUUCGGAUUGUAAAGCACUUUAAGUUGGGAGGAAGGGCUGCAAGUUAAUACCUUGUAGUUUUGACGUUACCAGCAGAAUAAGCACCGGCUAACUUCGUGCCAGCAGCCGCGGUAAUACGUAGGUGGCAAGCGUUGUCCGGAAUUAUUGGGCGUAAAGCGUGCGCAGGCGGUUUGUUAAGCGAGAUGUGAAAGCCCCGGGCUCAACCUGGGAUGGUCAUUUCGAACUGGCAAGCUAGAGUCUCGUAGAGGGGGGUAGAAUUCCAGGUGUAGCGGUGAAAUGCGUAGAGAUCUGGAGGAAUACCGGUGGCGAAGGCGGCCCCCUGGACGAAGACUGACGCUCAGGCACGAAAGCGUGGGGAGCAAACC
rnacentral:rRNA from 1 species